CGAACGCUGGCGGCGUGCUUAACACAUGCAAGUCGAACGGGCCCGCCCCUGUUUUUGGGGGUGGGUUGAGUGGCGAACGGGUGAGUAUCACGUGAGUAACCUGCCCCCUGCUCCUGGAUAACUGCUUGAAAGGGCGGCUAAUACGGGGUGUGCCGGCUGGUCCGCAUGGGCCUGGUCGGGAUAGUUUCAUCUUCGGGUGUUUCGGUGGGGGAUGGGCUCGCGGCCUAUCAGCUUGUUGGUGGGGUGAUGGCCCACCAAGGCGGUGACGGGUAGCCGGCCUGAGAGGGUGGGCGGCCACACUGGGACUGAGACACGGCCCAGACUCCUGCGGGAGGCAGCAGUGGGGGGUAUUGCGCAAUGGGCGGAAGCCUGAUGCAGCGACGGCGCGUGAGGGAUGGAGGCCUUCGGGUUGUGAACCUCUUUCUCCGGUGGUGAAGGCCCUGUCCGUUGCGGCGGGGUUGACGGUAGCCGGGUAUGAAGCGCCGGCUAACUACGUG
rnacentral:rRNA from 1 species